rnacentral:rRNA from 1 species
AAAUUAACAUUAUAACGGCGUAAAGAGUGGUCACAUGUUAUCCAAGUAGCUAAGACUAAAAAGUAUCUAAGCUGUCAUAAGCCCAUGAUGCUCAUAAGGCCUCCCCUUAAAGAAGAUCUUAGAACAACGAUUAAUUGAAUUCCACGAAAGCCAGGGCCCAAACUGGGAUUAGAUACCCCACUAUGCCUGGCCCUAAAUCUUGAUGCUCGAUCUUACCGGAGCAUCCGCCCGAGAACUACGAGCGCAAACGCUUAAAACUCUAAGGACUUGGCGGUGUCCCAAACCCACCUAGAGGAGCCUGUUCUGUAAUCGAUGAUCCACGAUAUACCUGACCAUUCCUUGCCAAAUCAGCCUAUAUACCGCCGUCGCCAGCCCACCCAGCAUGAAGGCCCAACA